CAAUAGCGUAUAUUAAAGUUGUUGCAGUUAAAAAGCUCGUAGUUGAAUUUCUGGCGGGCGCGCCGGUCUUCCAAGUGUUGUACUGGGCGCAGUCCGCCAUCCUUGUGGAGAGGGCUCGCAUUGAGUUGCGUGUCGGAUCUGCAUCAUUUACUGUGAAAAAAUUAGAGUGUUUAAAGCAGGCUGUCGCUUGAAUACAUUAGCAUGGAAUAAUAAGAUAGGACUUCGGUCUAUUUUGUUGGUUGCGAACCGAGGUAAUGAUUAAUAGGGAUAGUUGGGGGUAUUCAUAUUUAAUUGUCAGAGGUGAAAUUCUUGGAUUUAUGAAAGAUGAACAACUGCGAAAGCAUUUGCCAAGGAUGUUUUCAUUAA
rnacentral:rRNA from 1 species